rnacentral:lncRNA from 1 species
CUUUUACCGGUAUGCAUAAUUCAAUAUUGCAAUAGAGUUGCCUCCCUUAGCAAUAUUGGGGCCUCUCCACUGACAUCAACUUUCGAUCUCCACUUGACGUACAGCUUGACUGGAACUCUUCUGCAUAGUCAACAGCAACGUUACCAGUGAAAAUGUUUGGGAAGAUUGCAUUUUUCUUGGCUGGUGUCUCAUGAGGCAUAUUUGCAGAUCAACACUACCGCGUUACCCCGAGUAGAUAAUCCUCAGGAUAUCUGGGCCAAGGUGAAGGAGUUUUCAGAAAAAUACAAGAAAGAUGACGCAGGAUCAUCAAAGGACUAGACCAUGAUGAUAACCACAAACACCUGAGAUAAAUCUCUAUGAAUGGUGUGCUGUAGGACAUGAACAUGGGCAUGGAUGUUGAGAAAUGACUUAGAGCCUCUCCUGCUGAUCUUCAAGAAUCUGACAGUAUUGAGUAUAUUUAUAUACAGUUUGGCCUCGUCAAUCAUUUUCUGAUGGAGAAAGAGUUCUGAAGCCAUUAUCAAAUUUACUGAGUAUCUGUGGUUGGGAUUCCCAGCCAUUCCUUGUGUGUCGUAGCAACACAUGACAAGAUAUAUACCUGGAAAAUAUUUAAGCAUCGUAAGUGUAUCCCGGUAUUUCGACACAAAAUAGAAACAUUUUUAAAAUUGUAUCCUGCUUUUGUUUCCAGCACCAUGACUAGGAUUACAAAGUAACACUACUGACUAAUUCCAGCUAGUUUGAAGCUGCUUUGUGUGAAGUAGCCAGAUCUGGAGGAAAAACAACUUGUCUCUCUCCAUUUUACACUCGUCUCUGCUUAAGGACUUGUGGCCAUGUCCAUCCCUGCGCAAACUGAAAUACAGAAACCAACAUGGAUAUGAAAUGGAAGUUAUUUGAUGACUAACUUUUACAUUAGUUCCCCGCUCCUUGCUUCACUUCUUAUUCUGACUGACUUUUGUCAGGAAUUGGUAGAAACAUCAUAGGUAGGUAUUUCCAAACAUUUAGGAAGCGUGAAAAUAUAAGAGUGGUGUUUAAUUUUAUUUCAGGUGUAUAUUUACUUUAGUUGUCAAGCCCUAUUUAUGACCUAUCAUAUCUGUUAAUGUCAUGCAACACUUGAUGACCAUCCUCCAGCGACUAUACUGAUUCACACCAUUCAGGUUAUCACUUAGCGUCAUGACUGUUACAUAAAGCCAUUGAAUACUCUGUUUACAUGUAUAUAUGUAGCAACGUCCACAGAGAAUAUUUCAUCCACGGGUUGGCAAAGUAAUUUGGAUGUGUUGGAUUACUGAAUUCAUUCCCCUUUGUCAUGAGCCAUGCAUCAGGGAUGAGUCAUGUUAAAUCUACCCUGACGCUGAAGAGUUCUUGUAAGUGUUCUUGUAAACAUCUACAGUUCAUAUUUAAUUAUUACCAGUGCUGCCCAGUAAGGCUGAUUAAGGCAAUGUGAGAACAAAAUACUCUGGUAGAGCAGCAUGAUGCAUAAAUAACUUGGUUUAGUAAAAGAUGAAUUAUUGAAUUACAUUGAACAUUGCAUGGAAAUGAGUUAUUUUCUCUUUGUAUCGUAAGGUUUGUUUUAGAAGAGAUAACAAACAAUCACCCCAUAGCGAUAGGUUUACAUUGGUAGUAAUAGUUCAGGUAUUUUCAUCAUUGCUCCUUUUCUUACUCAGGAUUUCUUACAGAAUAUCUUUGACAAGUUUUGUGCUGUGAGAUUGAUGUGUGUAUGUUCACGUGAAGAACUGUAAGAAGAUGAAAAGAGUGAAAAUGUAUAAAACCCCUUCUCUUUGGUUAAUAGUCACUAAAACUAACAUGUUUGGAUGUGCAACAAACAGGUAGUUUAAUGGUGUAUAAUCAUUAAUCUCGGAAAUUAUGUUAUAUUGUGAUAUGGUAGUUAUAUUCUUGUUUAUGAUGAUCAAUCAUAAUUCAUAUUUGAGUAACUGAGGAAGAGAAUUUGUACAUAGACAACUGAAGUGAAUAAAGUAUUUUAUGAU